AUUGAACGCUGGCGGCAGGCCUAACACAUGCAAGUCGAACGCGUGGCGGACGGGUGAGUAAUGUCUGGGAAACUGCCCGAUGGAGGGGGAUAACUACUGGAAACGGUAGCUAAUACCGCAUACCAUCGGAUGUGCCCAGAUGGGAUUAGCUAGUAGGUGGGGUAACGGCUCACCUAGGCGACGAACCUUAGCUGGUCUGAGAGGAUGACCAGCCACACGGGAACUGUGACACGUGCCAGAUGCCUACGUGAGGCAGCGGUGGGGAAUAUUGCACAAUGGGCGCAAUCCUGAGUCAGCCAUGCCGCGUGUAUGAAGAAGGCCUUCGGGUUUUAAAGUACUUUCAGCGAGGAGGCGUUACUCGCAGAAGAAGCACCGGCUAACUCCGUGCCAGCAGCCGCGGUAAUAC
rnacentral:rRNA from 1 species